rnacentral:rRNA from 1 species
AUUGAACGCUGGCGGCAGGCUUAACACAUGCAAGUCGAGCGGAGCGAGGGUGCUUGCACCUUAGCUUAGCGGCGGACGGGUGAGUAAUGCUUAGGAAUCUGCCUAUUAGUGGGGGACAACAUUCCGAAAGGAAUGCUAAUACCGCAUACGCCCUACGGGGGAAAGCAGGGGAUCUUCGGACCUUGCGCUAAUAGAUGAGCCUAGGUCGGAUUAGCUAGUUGGUGGGGUAAAGGCCUACCAAGGCAACGAUCUGUAGCGGGUCUGAGAGGAUGAUCCGCCACACUGGGACUGGGACACGGCCCAGACUCCUACGGGAGGCAGCAGUGGGGAAUAUUGGACAAUGGGCGGAAGCCUGAUCCAGCCAUGCCGCGUGUGUGAAGAAGGCCUUUUGGUUGUAAAGCACUUUAAGCGAGGAGGAGGCUCUUAAGGUUAAUACCCUUAAUGAGUGGACGUUACUCGCAGAAUAAGCACCGGCUAACUCUGUGCCAGCAGCCGCCGUAAUAC